rnacentral:rRNA from 1 species
AUACGUAGGGUGCAAGCGUUAAUCGGAAUUACUGGGCGUAAAGCGUGCGCAGGCGGUUUUGUAAGACAGUGGUGAAAUCCCCGGGCUCAACCUGGGAACUGCCAUUGUGACUGCAAGGCUGGAGUGCGGCAGAGGGGGAUGGAAUUCCGCGUGUAGCAGUGAAAUGCGUAGAUAUGCGGAGGAACACCGAUGGCGAAGGCAAUCCCCUGGGCCUGCACUGACGCUCAUGCACGAAAGCGUGGGGAGCAAACAGGAUUAGAUACCCUGGUAGUCCGCGCCCUAAACGAUGUCAACUGGUUGUUGGGGAUUUAUUUUCUCAGUAACGAAGCUAACGCGUGAAGUUGACCGCCUGGGGAGUACGGCCGCAAGGUUAAAACUUAAAGGAAUUGACGGGG